UCUCCCUUUGGUGUCUGUCCUCCCAACCGUGUGUCCGUGUGUUCCCCGGCCCCCCUGUCUAAUUGUCUGCCCGCCUGUUUGUCUGUUAGUCUACCCGUAUGUGUGUCAGCCAGUUUGUUGGCCUGUUUGUCUGCCCCCCAGGCCGUCAGCCCAUCGGCCAACGUGUUUGCCCGCCUGUCUGCCUGUCUGUCUGUGUGCCAGUCUGCGUGUGUUUUGUCUUGUUUGCCUGUGUGUCAGUCCCUAUGUCAGUUGUUGGGUUCCCCCCUCGUCUUCCCUGUCUGCCUGUCCCUUUGUGUGUCCAUCAGUGUCGCCGUGUGCCUCCCCGCCUGCUUGUCCCUGUGUCUGUCUUUUUAGGUCUCCCUAUUGUGCCAGUAUCUGGCAGUCUGUUUCCCCCUCAGUCUUGUCCAACCCAGUCCAGUGUUGUCGUGCCCCGUCUCAGUCCUGUCCUGUAUGUCUGCCUUGCCCCUGUCCUAGUCCCCCCUGGUUUCCUGAGUCCCCCCUGGUUUCCUGAAUUUCCCCGUGUCGCCCGGAGUGCGGGCCCUGAAUUUCCCCGUGUCGCCCGGAGUGCGGGCCCUGAGUCUCCCCCGUGUCGCCCGAUGUGCGGGCCCUGAGUCUCCCCCGUGUCGCCCGAUGUGCGGGCCCUGAGUCUCCCCCGUGUCGCCCGAUGUGCGGGCCCUGAGUUUCCCCAGUGUCGCCCGAUGUGCGGGCCCUGAGUUUCCCCCGUGUCGCCCGAUGUGCGGGCCCUGAGUUUCCCCCGUGUCGCCCGAUGUGCGGGCCCUGAGUUUCCCCCGUGUCGCCCGAUGUGCGGGCCCUGAGUUUCCCCGUGUCGCCCGAUGUGCGGGCCCUGAGUUUCCCCGAGUCCUGCCCAGCCCUGAGUCUCCCCGUGUCGCCCGAGUCCUGCCCAGCCCUGAGUCUCCCCGUGUCGCCCGGGUCCUGCCCAACCCUGAGUCUCCCCGUGUUGCCCGGGUCCUGCCCAGUCCCGAGUCCUGUUCCCCCGUCCGAGUCCAGUCCCGAGUCCUGUUUCCCCCUCCUGCGUCCCGUUCCAGUCCCGAGUCCCGUCCUGUUCCUGUCCAGUCCUGUUUCUGCCCCGAGUUCCCGUCCAGCCCCGAGUUCCCCUCCAGCCCCGAGUCUUGUUCUUGUCUAGUUCCUGUCCUGUCCAGCCCAGCCCUGAGUCUUGUCCUGUCCAGUCUUGUUCCUGCCCCAGUCCUGUUCCUGCUCUGUGUCCAGUCCCUGUUCCUGUCAGAGUCCUGUUCCCGUGUUCUGUCUCCAGCCCCCACCCUCUGUUGACUCCCUCCCCGGGUCGGCCUCCUGGGACGUCAGGAGCCGUCCCUUGGGGGGGGGGGGUACUGUCAUGUUCCGGUUUUCCUGUCUGUGUUUCCCCUGUUGGGCCGCCAGAUGGCGGCACUUCUGUUUUGUGUCCUGCUCCCCCCCUGUUAAUUGUAUUAUUGUCUGUCUCGUUAUCCCAUCAUUGUUCCCACCUGUGUCUUAUCCCCUCCUUCUGGUUUGAUUGUUUUUUGAGUUCACCUGUGUCUUGUUACCCCUGUCUAUUUAAGUUUCCCCCUCCCUUGACUCAGGUGCUGGUUCCUUGUGGUUAUGUCAGAUUGUUGUGCUCUGCCUUUCCGUGUUCUGCCCUGUCCAUGUUCUGCCCUGCCCGUGUUUGUGAGUUUGACUUGUUUUCUGUUCAUGUGUUCCUGUUCUUGGCUUUCUAGUGUUUUUUUGGAGUUUCUGCAUUUCCUUUGUUCCUGUGUUUGUUCCCAACUUGCGUAUGUUUUAGACCCUUUGUACCUGUCUGUGUUUGUGACCUGUUUGUGUUUGUUCCACUUACUUGUACUCUGUCCUGCCUGUGUUUUUGAGUUCCUGUUUCAUUAGAUAUUGUUUGUGUUUGUUCCCGACAUCUGUUUGUUUUCACCAUAUCUACCUGCCUGUGUUUUGUUUUACCUUUCCUUGUGCUCUGCCUUCCCGUGUUCUGCCCUGUCCGUGUUCUGCCCUGCCCUGCCCGUGUUUGUGAGUUCGACUUGUUUUCUGUUUUAUUUCGAUAUUUUUUGAGUUUGUUUUGGCCUUCGUGCCCUUGUCUGUUCCCUGGUUGUUUGCACUUUUUGUUAGUAAAAUCUUUGUUAAUUUUCC